GGCAGUUUGUUUUAUUUCAGCCCUUCUAAUAAAAUGAUGAAAAAUACUUAGACAUGUUUAUCAAGCUGAAUAAAUCACUUUUACAAAAACAAAGGUUAGCUGUGAUAUCAUGAUUUCAUAUAUUACAUCUUGCAGAAGAAAAUGUCACAUUCCAGAAUGUGUGUGGAUACAACCAAGAAACAAUACUGCCUUUGCAAUUUUACUAGACUGCUGUGUUCCCAGUAUUGUGAAGAAAUUUGUUUUUCUUAUGUAGAGUUUCUUAAUAUUAUUGUGCAAUUAUUGUUGAAGAUUUCUGACAGGACCAGAAAUAAUAAGUAUUAUUAGGGAGGUAAUACACAAUACAUUCCAGCCACAUAGGAUACAAUGUCUAAGAUAUUUUCUUAAUGGGUUUCUUUGUAAUUGUAUAAGAACUGUCAUUUUACUCUGUGUGAUGAAUUGGUUUGAAGCUGAAUAUUCUGUUAAAAUCCUUAAACUUAAUUUCAAUGCACAAAUACUCAUACCAUUUGUUCUAAUUUGGCUACUGGGAUUUCAUAAUGGCUUCCAGUCACUUUUGGUUACCAUUGGCAUGAUGCAGAAGUUGAAGUAAAAAUUUCAAUGGUAUGAGCAGUGUUAUAUCAUUCUGUGUUGAAAGCAAUCAAAACAAUUUGAUUUUCCUUGUAUUGUGUCUUGCCUAUAUGCUAAAUUUGAUGAUUGCAUUUGAUGGAAAUUCAAAUGAAAAUCUAAAGUCAUGAGUGUUAAUAAAUGUUCCAUUUAGUGUGUUCUUUUCUUGAACUUCAGUGUAACACACUCCUGAAGAAAUAUUUUCCCUUUAUUGUUCUACACACAAGGAGCUUUUGUCCUUCCUUCUCAUUAAUUUGAAUGUGCUUAAAAAUUAGAAUAUUGCUGUGUGUCAUAUGUAAUUGCAAUAGAUUAAGGGUAUACUCCUUCAUAGUAUUCCAUGACUAGAAAUGUUUUGUUGAUUAAAUUGAUGGCUGAUGAUUUAACAAAAUGUAUUUGCCAUCCUUUUGUUGUGCUGGUUGGAAGCAUCACUCGAUGGCGAAUUUAGUCUGCUGAUUUCGUAAAGAAAUACAUGAAAAUGAAACAAACUGUAGAUAAAUAGUAAUACAACAGUAAUAAUGCAAGAAUUACAGUAAAAUUAAGAGAAACUAAUAUAUAGUAUUUUGAGACACUUAUAAUAUGGUUAUUCAAACAUGACCAAAAUGUAAUAUUGCUGGGAGUGUAACUGUACUAUCUGGAUGAUGCUUAUGCAAGAUUCAGUGUAAAGAUUGAACAUAGUUAGAACUCUGCAACUGUUAAUCAAAGUAAUGUCUGUAGAAAAGCAUGUUUGUGAAAAAGGAAACUAAGCUUCAGCAGUUUCAGAAGAGAAUUGGCGUAAGUAUCACUAGUCUGGGUGUAUGUAGAGAGGUGACUAAGAAAACAGUUGUUUGAAUUCAUUUUCCUGUUUCUUCUUUCAAGUUAUGAAGUAAUUUUGGAAUACAUAACAAAAAAUUGAUAUACGAGAAGCUGUUAAAUAUAAGUAUUAAAACUAUUGAACAAAUAGGCAUUAUAGUUAACAACAUUUUAUUGUGUAAGAGUUGUUUGUAUGUGUAAUAUGACUGUUUUGUUACAUAUUGAUGAAAUUUCCACAUCACUCAUUAUUUUCAUUGUUGAAAUUGCAGGUAAUAUCUGUUAUAUAUAAGUGUGUGUGUGUGUGUGUGUGUGUGUGUGUGUGUGUGUGUGUGUGUGUGUGUCAUCAAAGUAAAAAUGUGGUGUGAAAAUGACUUAAUGUACUGGUAUUUAUUUGAAUACUAUUUAUACUGUUGCAUUGUUGUGGCAUUAAACUCCCUCUCAGACUUUGUUCAAAAUAUUGAAUUUGAAGGUGCUUCUUGAAUUUUUUUGUGCUACCACCCAUGGUUAGAUCUAUUAUUAACCAACAUGUACAUAUCAAAUAUUCAUGUGGCAUGAGGUGCAUUUCUGAGAAAUGUAAGUAAUAAAUUGCUUGUAAAGGAUCCAUGAUAUUUAAUAAAUGGAUACUAAUUCAGUCAAA